rnacentral:sRNA from 1 species
GCUGGGUGUGGUGGAACACACCUGUAAUCUCAGUAUCUUGGGAGUCUGAGGCAGGAGGAUGGUGAGUUCAAGGCCAGCCUCAGCAACCUAUGGAGGCCCUAAGCAAUUCAUCAAGACCCUGUCUCUA